rnacentral:rRNA from 1 species
GGUUCAUUCAAAUUUCUUCCCUAUCAACUUUCGAUGCGAGGGUAUUGUCCUCGCAUGGUUACAACGGGUAACGGAGGGUUAGGGCUCGACCCCGGAGAAGGAGCCUGAGAAACGGCUACUACAUCCAAGGAAGGCAGCAGGCGCGCAAAUUACCCAAUCCCGAACGGGGAGGUAGUGACAAUAAAUACUGAUACAGGGCUCUUUUGGGUCUUGUAAUCGGAAUGAGUACAAUUUAAAUCUCUUAACGAGGAGCAAUUGGAGGGCAAGUCUGGUGCCAGCAGCCGCGGUAUUCCAGUCCAAUAGCGUAUAUUACAGUAGGCGAGGUCAAAAAGCUCGUAGUUG